GAUUGGUAAAAAUACAAAGUUCCAUUAUUUUACCAUAUUACAGAGAUUUUUCCAUUUUAAAUUUCAAGUCGAAUAUCAAUGUCACGACUAAGUCAGACACUUAUUUGAAUAUAUAUAAAUGUGUUGAUGUUGUAAGCAUAGGAGCCCGGAGCCUCUCGAAGCUUUUUUACACACGUAAACUAAUUACAUUUCUCUUUUCCUUUUCAGUUCAUGGUAAAAUUGUAAAAUCUUCUAAUGGACUGUUUAAAAAAUAAUCUGAAUAAAGGGGGAAAAUAUUUAUUCUCUAAGAGGUCUCAGUGAAAACAACACUUUCAUGAUAACUUUGCUGUAAAGGAUGGUUUAAAUCACUAAUAAAAUUAUCAAGAAAACUAUUCGUCUAAAUGAAGUGACUAAUAUAGACAAAAAAUCGUUCAGCGAGAUAUCUUUUUUUUUUUUUUUUUUUGUGAAACUCGUUCAGCGAGAUAUCAUUUAUGAGUAUUUCGUCAUUAAAGUGACAUGAUAUGAGACGUGUUGGUGUUUUUAAAGAAGACACAUAUAUGCAAACAAAAA
rnacentral:lncRNA from 1 species